GCUGGAAUCGCUAGUAAUCGCAGAUCAGAAUGCUGCGGUGAAUACGUUCCCGGGUCUUGUACACACCGCCCGUCACACCAUGGGAGUUGGAAAUGCCCGAAGCCAGUGACCCAACCGUAAGGAGGGAGCUGUCGAAGGUGGAGCCGAUGACUGGGUGAAGUCGUAACAAGGUACC
rnacentral:rRNA from 1 species